rnacentral:rRNA from 1 species
CGUUCCCCGUCGGGGGACGAGGGUGACAGGUGGUGCAUGGUUGUCGUCAGCUCGUGUCGUGAGAUGUUGGGUUAAGUCCCGCAACGAGCGCAACCCUCGCCUCUAGUUGCCAGCAUUCGGUUGGGCACUCUAGAGGGACUGCCGGCGACAAGUCGGAGGAAGGUGGGGAUGACGUCAAAUCAUCAUGCCCCUUAUGACCUGGGCUACACACGUGCUACAAUGGGCGGUACAAAGGGCUGCGAACCCGCGAGGGGGAGCGAAUCCCAAAAAGCCGCUCUCAGUUCGGAUUGCAGGCUGCAACUCGCCUGCAUGAAGCCGGAAUCGCUAGUAAUCGCGGAUCAGCAUGCCGCGGUGAAUACGUUCCCGGGCCUU